ensembl:lincRNA 1700047F07Rik RIKEN cDNA 1700047F07 gene
CCUCAGAUCACGCCACCUCAGGAAACAGCUGAAAAUAGAGGCGAACCCAGCAUGUUAGUGGGUCAGAAGACUGUGAUGACGUGGGCACAAGCAUGCCACGUGACUGCGAUGACGUAGCACGCAAGCACACCACAUGGCUGAGAUGACAAAGCACGCAGGCACGCCGUGUAGCUGAGGUGACAAAGCAUGCCUGCCCCCAAUGAUUCAUCUUAUUGCUUGUCAACAUUGGAACAGCACCUCGCACAUAAGCCAUGCCACCUUUCGCAGUUAGUGCAUCUCUUGUCCUUCGCACCGAUGGAUAGGCCAGCGCGCUUCACUGGCCGCUUCAGAGGCGUGAGGACGUCUGCAGUCUCUCAUCUUCCUUUAGUCGAGCUCUUCCCAACGUUGCUGA